rnacentral:rRNA from 1 species
CAGCAGCCGCGGUAAUACGUAGGGUGCGAGCGUUGUCCGGAAUUAUUGGGCGUAAAGAGCUCGUAGGCGGUCUGUCACGUCGGAUGUGAAAGCCCGGGGCUUAACCCCGGGUCUGCAUUCGAUACGGGCAGACUAGAGUUCGGUAGGGGAGAUCGGAAUUCCUGGUGUAGCGGUGAAAUGCGCAGAUAUCAGGAGGAACACCGGUGGCGAAGGCGGAUCUCUGGGCCGAUACUGACGCUGAGGAGCGAAAGCGUGGGGAGCGAACAGGAUUAGAUACCCUGGUAGUCCACGCCGUAAACGG